CUUGCUCCCCAGCGCUCACGCUCGCGCGCAGUUCCCUCUCGCCGGCUAGCCUUCAGCCGCCGACGUCUCGGCCCCUCAGAAAGCCGGUCGCGCCAUGUCUUCGCCUCCCGAGGGAAAGCUAGAGACGAAAGCAGGACACCCGCCCGCCGUGAAAGCUGGUGGGAUGCGAAUUGUGCAGAAACAUCCGCACUCUGGAGAUGCCAAGGAAGAGAAGGACAAGGACGACCAGGAGUGGGAAAGCCCCAGCCCACCCAAACCGACUGUGUUCAUCUCUGGAGCCAUCGCCCGGGGUGAUAAAGACUUUCCCCCUGCGGCUGCCCAGGUGGCCCACCAGAAGCCCCAUGCCUCCAUAGACAAGCAUCCAUGCCCGAGAACCCAGCACAUCCAGCAGCCUCGCAAGUGAUCGGCGAGCACCCACCACCCACCCUAGCCUCGGUUCCCUGACACUUGGUAUUUCCCGACAAAGAGGACUGGCAUCUUCUUCAAAACACUUCCCCGUGGAGAAAUCCAAGACAAAGCAAAACUCCCCUUCCGUUGCCUUAAAUUUCCACAUCUAACACUAGAAUCAGACCCCAAACCUUGUUUGCAGGGAGUCCUGGCUGGUAUCACUUGAGGGUCCUUGGGCCUCUUACAAGUGCCAUUAGCAGAACUUACCGGACCUGAGUGAAAUGAGCUUGUUCAGAGUUUAGCUUUGUUCCCAUUCAUUGGCUGCCCUGUCAGUGGACUUAAAAACAAGCGGGCACAGAUUUUGGAGGGUUAGAGGAAGGUCAGGGGAAAGCUCAGUCAUUUCAUGCUUUUUGGUAAGAGGACCAUAACGUCUUAACACCUAGUGGACAGAGAAAGAGAUGAAGGCAUUGAUUACAGGAAGGCUGAGCAGGGGAGACUUUUGAAACAGGCAACAGCAUCGCUGUAUUUCCCUCCCUUGUGUGACAAGGGAUCACAGCACAGGAGACACCAAGCACUCACAGAAGGGCCACGGAAAAGCUCACAGCUUUGAAAUGGCUCUUCUUUCCCAGGAGUCAUCUUGCUGAAAAUUUUGCCCAAACCAGAUCUGUCAGUGCGGGUCCCAAGUCCGGCACAGCCCCACCAUCCAUAAUGGGUUUGUAGGAAAUCAAGGAAAACCUUCCUUCUUCAGGCAUCACCUCCAGAGCUGUCUUCGGGUUCGGGCCGUGAUCACUGACCGGGUGACACAUAGCUAGUCUUGGAACCCUAGAGCAAAAGCUGUUAACGUCCGUGGAAAGACCAGAUGAAAACCUGCCCUUUGCCUCCCUAGGGAAAAGCAGAACACCAUGUGCCAUUUGAGCUAGAAAAGCCUGUUUGUCAAUCAGUCAAAGUGUCCAGAUUCCCUCUAACCAAGGGCCCCGUUGCCUGGGCCCAUGUUCACUUGCCAUCUCAAACCGUCUAGCACUUUCUGUCCACAUGUCCUGCCCAGAGCCACCCUAGACUGCCACUGGCUCAUAGCUACCAUAUGCCUUGCGUUUCUGAAAAGCCAAAGGGCUCAUUUAUUUACUCAGAGGUUCAAAUCUCCCAGAGCAGAUGCUUUGAGAGAAGGUGCAGCCUGGCAGUCCCGCUUGCCGGAGUGGUGUUUGCUGCAGCUGGGCACACACACCACAGUCCUUGCGAUGCCUUCUCCAGGUCCACAGCCAUGACUGGUAAGAGUGCCAGAGGCCAGGAGACCCAGCUCUCAUCCUUCCCUAAGGGAAAAGCCAGCACUUCUUCACAUCCUAAAAGUAAUGUUUGGUUUCCCAUCUCAUUGAUGUGGGAGCCGGGGUCUUACCCUGCAAGCGCUGUAUAGUCACGUCUCCUAGUCCUUAAUUGCUAAGAUGCUGCCAUACUCUGGAGCUGGCUUGUGGAGAUGCAGGCUAGAUGGGCAGCCACCUCCUGGAGGCAGCAUCUCUGAAGGAAGCUGAGAGCAGACAGCACCAGGUCAGGUCUGUGGACCAUUACACCCUCUGCUGCAGAAAUGAAGACACGUCCUCGAUGCUUUUUAGUGUUGCAGCCAGGAUCAACUCGCUACUCCCCAUGGUGCAUCUUUCACGUCCUUUUUGCUACAUCUGGCAUGGAGCUGUGUGUUGUAGAAUCACUGAACGCAAAAGGUUCUCCUGGAUGAGUUUAUCUGUAGUUAACUUUUAAGAAUAAUAAUGGUGAUAAUAAAGCUCCUGCAUUUCUUCUCCUGGUUUGUUUCUUCUCACGUUUCAGAUUUUCCUUUUUCAUUUUCCAAGGGUCACCAGAUGGUUCCAGUAGCAAUACAAACAUGCAAAAAAAAAAAGGGGAGGGGGGUUUUCACCAAUUGUUUCCCAGACACAAAGCCGAACUCUGGGACAUCUGGCACCUGAAGUCUAAUUGUCUGCUUUGAAAUGUCAUAAAAUGGAAAAGCUUAAUGCAGUUGAUUAAAACGUAUUCCUUGAACCCAGCAGCAGGCCUGCUAGGAAGGCCCUUUGGGAACAGACUUAGAAGGCGUUAUUAAUAGUAAGCACAGGGGUGGCUGGGAGCAGCUUUUGAUGACUAAGACAUCCACCCAAUUCAUCCAAAGGGCUCCUGGAAUGCUUAUGAGCCGGAUGAAAUAACCACAGUGGUGAAACUUAGAGACCAUUUCAUGCUUUUUGGUAAGAGGACCAUAACGUCUUAACACCUAGUGGACAGAGAAAGAGAUGAAGGCAUUGAUUACAGGAAGGCUGAGCAGGGGAGACUUUUGAAACAGACCGCAGAUUCGAGCUGGGCGGGACCCCGAGGUGCAGACGAGGGCCUGGGAGGCCUUGAGCCUGGGGUGGCAGGCAUGGCCAGGUCUGCAUCUCCCAGCCCUGGCAGUCACCCUAGUGUCACCUCUGGAUGCUAUUAUUUGUAUUCAUGCAUCUGUCUGCUUUAAAUUGAGGCCAGAAUAAAGGUCUUAGUCAUUUAGUGUUGCUCUCAGUACUUAAACGUGGGUAAAUAGAAAUGCCCAACACGUGACAAACGUGGAGCAGAACCGCCUCUCCCACCCAACCCCAGGACUUUCCACAUCAUCACUAACGUCGUCGUCGUCACCUGCAUGAGUUUCCUAUGGCCACUGUAACAAAGUGCCACACAUGGGGUGGCUUCAGACAAUAGCAGUGUGUUACCUCGCGGUUCUGGAGUCUAGGCCUUAGCAAUCAGGGUGUGGGCAGGGCGCAGGCCCUCAGAAGUCUCCAACUGAUGGACAUUCUCAACCUCUUCCAGCUCCUGGCAACUGCUGACAAUGCUUGUAGCAACAUAAACCCAGUCUCCAUUUUUUGUUGUCACAUGACAUCUUCCUGUGUAUCUGUGUCCAAAUCUCUUUCUUCUUCUAAGGACAAGAGUCACUGUAUGAGUGCCCACCCUGACCCAGUGUGACCUCAUCUUAACAAAUCAGAUCUGCAAGGACCCUCCUUCCACAUAAGGUCAAGUUCACAGAUGCUGAGGAUAUCUUCCAGAGGACACAGUUCACCCAGGACAGCAACCAGACACUGAGAAGCCAAAAACCUCACUCCCAGCUCACACCAUUUGAAAAGGUGUUCAUUUGGAAUAUUGCUUUUCUGAAUAAACUUUCCUGGAA
rnacentral:lncRNA from 1 species